rnacentral:tRNA from 1 species
GGAGGCGUAUCGAAGCGGUCAUAACGAGGUGGUCUUGAAAACCAUUUGGCGGCAACGCCACGGGGGUUCGAAUCCCUCCGCCUCCGCCA